AUUGGGGGCGUUCCGGAAUUGAGGGGUGGUUGUAGUGGUGGCUUAGGAAUACCCUCCCGGCUAUCGCUUCAGUGGGUAGAGGGGACCACUGCCCGAGAGCUUUAAUGGAGCUGGGUCCUGCCUUCGCGCUGAGGAGCCCUCGUUUUCGAGAUCAGGCCUGACCGGGAUAAGCUCCAGGCAAUAAACAUUUACUAAGGAGCUAUUAAUGGGUCAGUCACAAGUGGAAGAAUGUUGUGAAUAUAGAAGUGAAUGGGAGUGUGUCUAAAAGAUCAUAUAAUUUGAAACAGUAUUAUGUCUCAGUCCUGUGCAAAGUGAGAUGAGCUGUAGCCUUUGGAGACCUAUAAUUUUGAACAUAGAUGUUCCUUAAAAGCUAAAUCUUUUUGAACAGAUGAUGAUAAACCUGGAAGAGAUUCACCAACAAUAGCAAAUUACACACUGGCUUGGAAAGUACUCCCAUGUUCCGUUUGAUCUUGGCAAUUUAAUGCUGUUCUUGAAGACUAAUUAGUUACACUGGAUAU
rnacentral:lncRNA from 1 species